rnacentral:rRNA from 1 species
AACGCGAAGAACCUUACCUGGUCUUGACGUCCACAGAACUUUCCAGAGAUGGAUUGGUGCCUUCGGGAACUGUGAGACAGGUGCUGCAUGGCUGUCGUCAGCUCGUGUUGUGAAAUGUUGGGUUAAGUCCCGCAACGAGCGCAACCCUUAUCUUUUGUUGCCAGCGGUCCGGCCGGGAACUCAAAGGAGACUGCCAGUGAUAAACUGGAGGAAGGUGGGGAUGACGUCAAGUCAUCAUGGCCCUUACGACCAGGGCUACACACGUGCUACAAUGGCGCAUACAAAGAGAAGCGACCUCGCGAGAGCAAGCGGACCUCAUAAAGUGCGUCGUAGUCCGGAUUGGAGUCUGCAACUCGACUCCAUGAAGUCGGAAUCGCUAGUAAUCGUGGAUCAGAAUGCCACGGUGAAUACGUUCCCGGGUCUUGUACACACGC